UACAGAGGGGGCAAGCGUUGUUCGGAAUUACUGGGCGUAAAGGGCGCGUAGGCGGCCUGUUAAGUCGAACGUGAAAUCCCCGGGCUCAACCCGGGAACUGCGUCCGAUACUGGCAGGCUUGAAUCCGGGAGAGGGAUGCGGAAUUCCUGGUGUAGCGGUGGAAUGCGCAGAUAUCAGGAGGAACACCAAUAGCGAAGGCAGCUCGCUGGGACGUACUGACACUGAGGCGCGAAGCUGGGGGAGCAAACGGG
rnacentral:rRNA from 1 species